AAUGCGUGUCGGUGUUUAACAGGUGAAAAUGUUCUUUGCUAGCUAGCAUUAGAGCUGGCCUAAUUAGAGCAUGUGCCUAAUAUGUAUACCUAAAUAAUCCACAGGUCUACACUAACAUUACUCAAACUGUAUGUCCAUUAAUGAAUGAUAUAGAAAUGACAUUACAGCUAGAGCUGGUUGAUAUGUGAAUUGUGAAAACAUGAGUAAGAAGUUUUCAUGAUACGUGGUAGUAUUUAAUAAAUGAGUUAAAAUAUUUUCAGAGUAUAAACGCACAAUGAUAUUUUUUUAAACAUUUCACACACUGUGCUCUACCAAAUCUAGUUGGAGAGGCCUAAUUACUUUUAUUACUGACAGUAUCUGCAAUAUGCUCCGAAAAAUUAUAUGGUAACAUUAAAUGUUUUGACAUCUAUUUUUUUCUUUUCACAGACCUUUCAGAUCCCUCCUCACAUCCAUCUAUCUCUCUAUCCUUUAUAGCGACCCAACGACACUUUUAAGAGCCACUCGUCUGUCUGUCUAUCCAUACAUCCGUUUAUAAUCUGAUUAUAGAUAAUCAAUUUGUCUAUCUACCUAUCUGUUUGUCUAUCUAUAUAUCUAUCUGUCUAUCUCUCUAUCUACUUACCUACCUACCUCUCUGUCGUUCUACCUUUUUGGCUUUCUUUCUGGCUGUUCAUCUGUCUGUCUGGCUGACUGGAUACCAUGCCAGGUUCAACCCAAAAGACCUGCCAGUCAUGCAAGGCACAAAUAAAUGUUGGCUGUAAACACUGCAAGCUGUGUGGGGCUUCUCAGCCCCAGAAAGUGAAAUUGCAGCAGGCCAAAGACAAAGCAUCAAAGGAAUGGGCCCAAAAAAUGUUGAAUGGAAGAAACACCUCAAAGCUGAUAAAUUCCACCAAUCUUCUACUCCACAAGUUUCACAUGUUGGGUUAUUACCCCCUUCUUCUUCUUGGGAGGAGGAAGACGAGGCAGGCCACAAAUUUUAGGGCAGAUGUUUUUUAUCCUCAGCAGUUUUCUUCAGAAAUGGAGAGGACAUCAAUUUCUACAAUUCGUUUGCUGUAUGAAGGUCUUCUAAAAGUGGCUCUUAAUCCAGAAGCCAACCCCAACUCUUCAAAUGCUCCUGAGACCAACACCAGCUCUGCCCAUACUCCUGAGACCAACACCAGCUUUUCACAUGCUCCUGAGACCAACUUCAGCUGUUCAGAUGGUCCUACAGAGAACCCCAGCUCUUCAGUUGCUCCCCUUCAUACUGAACCUACAUACACCUUAAUUCUUACUCCUGUUACAUCUGAAAAGGAAAAUUCCACAGUGGUUCUUAAUCUGGAAGUCAACCCCAGCUCUUCAGAUGAUCCUGAGACCAGCCCCAUCUGUUCAGAUGCUCCUGAGACCAGCCCCUUCUCUUCAGAUGGUCCUGAGGCUAGCCCCAGCUUUUCAGCUCCUCCUGAGCCCCGCAGCAGCUCUUUAGAUGAACUCAAUCCAAUUCUCUCCCCUGUUACAUCUGGAAAUGGGAAUUCCACAGACAAGUACCCCUGCAAGAAAAGAACACAAGAAGUAACACCAAAUGUGUCCAGCUCGACAUUUAAUCGUACUUUUCCCUGCAAGAAAAGAAGAAUAAAGAUCAACCCAAGUGGUAAAAUCAUAUUCUCACAAUCUGGGGUUCUAUUGGGUUCAUCUAUUUAAUUGA
ensembl:lncRNA